rnacentral:lncRNA from 1 species
AAAAUAUAACUAAUGUAGGAGAGUUAAGGUAGAGCGCUUGAGAGGGGAGAGAGGAGAGAGAGAAAGGAGGAACUUCAAGUUUUCUCCCAAUUGGUGGUUCGAAAAAUUUCCGAAAAGCCACAAAAAGUCGACUUCUUGUCUUAGAAAAUUCCGGAAAAAAAAAAAUCCCGAAGAAAGCGUUAGACACUGGGUGAGCAGUUAGCACGGUUCCCGGUUCUAAAGUUCUAAAGUUCUGGUUCCGUUCCUUUUUCUUGGAACCGGAACCGGAACCGGAAGGGAGCUGGUUAGAGUUUUAAAAAAAAAACAAAAAACG